rnacentral:rRNA from 1 species
GCGUAACGCGUGGGAAUCUGCCCAACAGUACGGAAUAACCAAGGGAAACUUUGGCUAAUACCGCAUACGCCCUUCGGGGGAAAGAUUUAUCGCUGAUGGAUGGGCCCGCGUAGGAUUAGCUAGUUGGUGAGGUAAAGGCUCACCAAGGCUACGAUCCUUAGCUGGUCUGAGAGGACGACCAGCCACACUGGGACUGAGACACGGCCCAGACUCCUACGGGAGGCAGCAGUGGGGAAUAUUGGACAAUGGGGGAAACCCUGAUCCAGCAAUGCCGCGUGAGUGAUGAAGGCCUUAGGGUUGUAA